GGGUUUGUAGCUCAGCCGGUUAGAGCACCGUGUUCACAUCGCGGGGGUCGUAGGUUCGAAUCCUAUCAAACCCACCA
rnacentral:tRNA from 9 species